ensembl:misc_RNA Metazoa_SRP Metazoan signal recognition particle RNA
GCCAGGCGUGGUGGCUCAUGCCUGUAAUCCCAUCACUUUGGGAGGCUGAGGCAGGUGGAUCACUUGAGGUCAGGAGUUCGAGACCAGCCUGGCCAACACAGUGAAACCCUGUCUCUA